rnacentral:lncRNA from 1 species
AGAAAUCAUAAUUUAUUUGAAGGAUUUUAAAGAUUAAAACUCAAAAGAUAUUAGAAAUAACAUAUAGGUCACCUUUGCUUUCUCUCCGUCUCGAGCUUAAGCCUUAUUUAUAUUGGAACACAACCCACAAAGUGAACCCCUAAGUGUAUCAACAUAAAAUCCAAAUAGCACACAAAGGCAAUCCCACAAUCCGCAGUCCACAAUCCAGACGCAUCGACCCAACGACCGACACUGUAUCCCCCAUCGCCAUGGCUGAGGAACACCAAAGCAUCAACGUCCACUAAACUAGUGCAGAACAAAUCAAUCCAUCCCAGCUUGCAAGUAACCAGAGGACAACUAGAAGAAAGGAAGUCAUACAUGUACCAUCAGAAUAAGAAGUUCGUAGGAGAAUCCCUAGAGAUGACUCCAAAUAAAACAGAAAUCAAUAAGGACGUGAUGCCACAAACUCAAUCGAUCAUCGUUCUAUAGAAGUGUGAACCACUAGAUGUAUCGAUGUGGUCCCAAGUCGCCAAUAUUAAAGCAAAGCAAAUCUCUCUAAUUUCCAAAACAGAGCCGCCAACCCUCAAAACUAGAUCUAAAGAAGACCAUAUCUCCCAAAGAAAAUAUCACAGGUCUAUAAAACAAAAUGAACAAAGCAAAACAAUCCUUUGAUGAUGACGGAUAGUCAUAGAAGGAUAGGGACCUCUCCUACUCGAAAGCAGAGAGGGACUCUAAAACAAAAACAAAAACGAAAGUAAAAUAACAGAAAAAACAAGAAAACGAUGAAACUCAAUUACAGCCCGGAGCAACGACGACCUAAAUCUCUUCUCACUUUCGUGACUCUUCUUGUUGUAGUCCCGUUCUUACGAGCUUUCCGGUUCUCUUGACCUAUCC